GGGGCUGCCGCAGUUGCAGCGUACGAACCACACCCUGGCGCGGGCAGGGCCCGGCCGAGGCCGCCGCGCCGCCCCGGGGCACCAGAAGCCUUCCGGUAACAGAACGUCGGCAGAACCGGCGCAAAACACCUCAGGAGGCCUCGUUCCGAAUUCUUCACCACAUGAAAAAGGGGAGAAAAAGAAAAAAGGAAAAAAGAAAAAAGCAUAGUCUACAUAGGUCUGCACGAGCACCAUGUGUUAUUUUACCAAAGCAGUAAAUACCUUAUAAAUCUCGACCUCAACAAUUUUAAACCACCUUUAGACAAGAGUUAAGGUACUAUAUUUUUAAUUUCUUCUGAAAAAGGAGUUGUUUUUAUACUUCAGACAGAAGUAAGAAUCACUUGAAUCCAAAUCUUUCACUUGGUUACAUGUAACAACAUUAGAGGAAAAAGCAUCCUCUUUUACCUUGGUCAGCAGCAUCUUUCAGCCUUUGAAAUAACUUGGAAAAGAAUUUUUCCUUUCUUCAUAAUCUGCAAACGCAGAAGCAAUAGGAUCUGAGUAGAACAUGACGGGCCUCGGUCCUUCAUUGUUCAUAGUGAAAGUCGCUGGAAACUUUCUGAGAUCGAGACCCCUGCCCGAAAAAUAAGCCUGGAGCGUUCUGAAAAACUGAACAUAUUGCAUAUGUGAAAACAGAGCAUGCCAAAGAGAGAUUAAUAAUUUCUACUGACAAAAAGUAGGUGUAAUAUUUGUUCCUGUGUGGGAUGAAAUCCUCUAUUUUGAUCAUAAACUGGUACAAUAUAGGCAAAAUAAUUCAGACAUAUCUGCUCCAGCCAGACGUGUCCACAGCAUCCAACUGUUUACUCAUCACCGAUGCUCCCCACUGAACCACAGAGGAUUUAAACUUUACUCCUUAUAAAACAGGCACAGCAAAACCCUUGCAGAGUUCUGUUACGUGUUUCUCUAAGAGACAUGUUCUCUAAAGAGUUAGCAACAGUGGGCAAUUGAUUUGAACUGGCCUCUCAGAUUGCUCAAAAGUAGAAAUUAAUGGUUCUUAAAACAGUGGUGAAGAGUUGUGGGAAACUGGGGUUUUUUCCUUCGCAAAUUUCUUAUAAGGUCUUGCAAAUGUUCUCUUAAUGGUAUUUUCUUAGCUGUAAUGAACUCUCAGAUCUUUAGCCACGAUUCAUGACAAUGUGUCAGAUGUGAACUUGUACUCCCAGAAGACAAAACAACAUGCAAUUAACAGAGUACACCCUGGAGAGAAAUGGAAUACUCACUCCUCUUCUGUUUCAUACAACAAGUGGUUGUGUAAUCAAAAUGCCUUUUUAAAAACCUAAAGCUGCUGGAUGGAGACAGAAGGAAGUUUUAUACAUUACUGCAGACUGAGAAAUUUUUUUCAGUUAAGGGGUACAUCUUGACUGAGGAAUGCUCAUCCAGCUGUGGUUAUUGACUAUACAAAGGGCGCGGUUACUAAUGCUGCACUUAAAGGACCACUCUUACCUCUCUUACCUUUAAAUUUAGAAGACAGAAAUUCUCAUGAUGGAAAAUAAAACCCCCACACAAAACGUAGGCUAUCUUUCUUGCAGCAUUUCCUUACCAGGUCUCUGUUUCUAGGGUUAUCUAGAGGCUUCCAUUUUUCUUCUGGUUGGAAAGGAGCACCCUUUGCCAGCCCUCUCACAGCCAAUACUGUGUACAGACCCAGGAGCACCACUUUCCACAUGUUGAAGAGAUAACAGACUAUCUGCAAGAAGGACAAUGAACCAGACUCCUUAAGUUCUACAGAGCUGUCACUGGUAACAAACAGAGCAAGCAUGACAAUCCAGUGGAGUGCUGGAAAUAAUUUGUGUGUGGCAAGGAAGACCUGCCUCCUGCGGGUUACACCUGUGCGCUAGCGACUUUUUUUUGUUUUCCUAGUACAUUAAGGUAGAACAAAUUAUUCUAAAGAAUUGUUUCCCAUACCAAAGCUAUUCCUAGACACUGGGUUUUAUUUUUGGGAGGGACUAGUAUGACAUUUAACACAAAAUAUUUACAUUUGUAAAUUUAGAGUUGUUACUACACGCAGCCAUUUUCAUUGGCUAAUCAGUUACAGCAUCAGAUCUUUGUGCGCUCCAAGGAGAAUGCAAAAAUAUGGCUUGAGAUCCAGAUAGCUCCAUUUUUUAAAUUGCAUGAAAUUAAAUGGUACUACAUAUAUUAAUAAGUGCAAUAAUAAUACAACCUGGCAUAAUAAACUAAAGACCCAUUUCAAAACUUGAUUGAAGGCAAAAAAAAAAAGAAAAAAAAUAAUUCUCCCUUUCACGUUCUUUAAAAUAAAGCUUACCAGUGAAUUUGGCUCUGGCUUGCCCCUUCUUGGUUAGUCUCCUUGUAAUCUGCGAACAAACCGAUCUCUGCACUUAUAUUUCUAGUGGACUGUAGGUGGGUGUCAAUGACGUUAGCAGGAGUUCAAAAAUACAGUAAUGAUUCCAUUUCCAUCCAUGACAUAAAGACCCUUGAGAAUUUCAUCCUUAAGAGUAUUAAGACCUGUUGCUAUCGAACAGCGCAGUGCAAAUUCCUCCUCCCUAAUCCAUGUUGCAGAAAAUCGCUGGUAAGCAUAUAGCACGUUAAAAACAAAUCCCAGUAGAGAUAAAAGAGUUUUAUCAAAAUAUUACUUUUAAUGAAAAUUAGUUAGCCAUAUCUCCGGCAUGGUGACUAGCAGAUAACUAUAGCUGGUUGAAUGGUUUUUGAGUAAGAUGAGGUAUAUAAUUUUCUGGAUGCUGGAGAGAGAGAGGGCAAUUUAAGGUCUGUUUCAAGGUCCAAAACCAUAACGUUUUAAUGGGAGUGUUGCUUUCCUACCCUGACUUUAUUGGCAGGCAGUAUCUUCCCAUCAGACUAGAAACUGAGACAAAGACUGCAAAGAGGGCUAUGCUAAUUAACCUGGGCUUUAUUUCAUAGCAUUCUUCAUCUAACAGCUGCUCAGAUUUUUUGCUUAAGAUUUCAUUACAGUCUUCUCUCCACUAUUUAGAUGAUACUUCAGUUAGUAUCACAUAAAGUAGAGCUCUAAAUAGACAUGUUUAAACUAAAGAUUUUUGGCCAUUAACUUAUUCCAGAUUAUAGAUGUUUAUUUCUGACUAGAAGCUUUAUGUCUGUCUUUUGUUUAAACUUUGAAAGCAAACCAAAACCAUAACACCACCCUUCCAGGCAGGCAAAGUUGUGAACAUCCAAACUUCACUAACCACACACUAAACAAAAUCCUAGCAGUAUUAUUUUCAUAACUGCAGUAACAUAUAAAAACACAAGUCAAUUUAUCCAGCUUGCAUGUUAUUCUACAGACUUGGAAUUAAAAAAAAAAUAAAA